rnacentral:rRNA from 1 species
UACGUAGGGGGCAAGCGUUGUCCGGAAUCAUUGGGCGUAAAGCGCGUGUAGGCGGCUCGUUAAGUCUGCUGUGAAAGUCCAGGGCUCAACCCUGGGAUGCCGGUGGAUACUGUCGAGCUCGAGUCCGGAAGAGGCGAGUGGAAUUCCUGGUGUAGCGGUGAAAUGCGCAGAUAUCAGGAGGAACACCAAUGGCGAAGGCAGCUCGCUGGGACGUGACUGACGCUGAGACGCGAAAGCGUGGGGAGCAAACAGG